AACGAACGCUGGCGGCAUGCCUAACACAUGCAAGUCGAACGAAGCCUUCGGGCUUAGUGGCGCACGGGUGCGUAACGCGUGGGAAUCUGCCCCUUGCUUCGGAAUAACAGUUAGAAAUGACUGCUAAUACCGGAUGAAGUCUUCGGACCAAAGAUUUAUCGGCAAGGGAUGAGCCCGCGUAGGAUUAGGUAGUUGGUGGGGUAAAGGCCUACCAAGCCGACGAUCCUUAGCUGGUCUGAGAGGAUGAUCAGCCACACUGGGACUGAGACACGGCCCAGACUCCUACGGGAGGCAGCAGUGGGGAAUAUUGGACAGUGGACGCAAGUCUGAUCCAGCAAUGCCGCGUGAGUGAUGAAGGCCUUAGGGUUGUAAAGCUCUUUUACCAGGGAUGAUAAUGACAGUACCUGGAGAAUAAGCUCCGGCUAACUCCGUG
rnacentral:rRNA from 1 species